UUACGAUUUUAGUGAGUUCGCGCGAAUUACAGUUAUUUGUAUUUGACCACUGCCUGCCAGCGGUUGACAGGCCCAAGUUUCACAAAAAAUGCUGCAUAAAAGAAAAGUGGGGCAUAUUUGCCUUUGGGGGCACAAGCUAAAACGCAGGGUUGAGAGUGAGACUAAAGUCAGCAGUAAACUCAUAGAGAGGCGAUAAGGUGGACUAACGGAACGGAAGUUGCAAACAACCGACGGCAACAAAGAAUUCGAGCAGACGAAAAUUCUAUAGCAUUUUUCUUUUUUUCUCUCUCUCUAAAGAAUUCAAUCAGAGUAUCAAAAACUUUCCACUUAUUUUACGGACUAAAUUCAGCAAGUCCAUCGAAGUAAUGGAAAACGACAUGAAGACUGAUGCAGUGCUGAUUCAGCUGAAAAUCCCUUGUCUCCCACAAACCAGCAAUUCUAUGUUUGUUACUUCGUAUUUGGAUACAGUGAAUUGUUCCAUAAUUUUAAACUCUUAUACACAUGUUGCUAAUUAUGUGUGAGCCUCAAUCAACAUUCUGUGUCUAAAUACAGAUUGUUCAUUCAAACAAAACAUUUUUUUGUAUUCUUUUAA